CCUACGGGAGGCAGCAGUGGGGAAUAUUGCACAAUGGGCGCAAGCCUGAUGCAGCAACGCCGCGUGAGGGACGACGGCCUUCGGGUUGUAAACCUCUUUUAGUAGGGAAGAAGCGAAAGUGACGGUACCUGCAGAAAAAGCACCGGCUAACUACGUGCCAGCAGCCGCGGUAAUACGUAGGGUGCAAGCGUUGUCCGGAAUUAUUGGGCGUAAAGAGCUCGUAGGCGGUUUGUCGCGUCUGCUGUGAAAACCCGAGGCUCAACCUCGGGCCUGCAGUGGGUACGGGCAGACUAGAGUGCGGUAGGGGAGAUUGGAAUUCCUGGUGUAGCGGUGGAAUGCGCAGAUAUCAGGAGGAACACCGAUGGCGAAGGCAGAUCUCUGGGCCGUAACUGACGCUGAGGAGCGAAAGCAUGGGGAGCGAACAGGAUUAGAUACCCUGGUAGUCCAUGCCGUAAACGUUGGGAACUAGAUGUGGGGACCAUUCCACGGUUUCUGUGUCGCAGCUAACGCAUUAAGUUCCCCGCCUGGGGAGCACGGCCGCAAGGCUAAAACUCAAAGGAAUUGACGG
rnacentral:rRNA from 1 species